GGAUGAGUGAGACAUCCCGUCCGCGGGACCGCGCGGACGUCGCCCCGCCGGUGCUUCCCCGGUACCGGCGCGGCUGUGCCGUCGUGCACACCACCGGGGCCUCUGGCCCCGGGAGUCCUCACGGACCGGA
rnacentral:ncRNA from 1 species